rnacentral:misc_RNA from 1 species
UCAAACUUGGUCAUUUAGAGGAAGUAAAAGUCGUAACAAGGUUUCCGUAGGUGAACCUGCGGAAGGAUCAUUAAAAAAUUGUCCACAAAAUGGAUAAUUAAUAUCCAUAUCCACCUUGUGUGAACCAUUGACUUGUCAGUUGGCAGGUGGAACCGCGCAUUACUUGGCGUGGAGGUUGUCGUUCCAUUGGGACUGACAUCAUCGAAGAGGUUUUCUUCAGCCUGCCAAUUUUUUAGUCUAUAUGCGUCUAAUAUUAAACACUUGACUAAAAUUUGAUUUAAUAAAUAACAAAUACAACUUUCAACAACGGAUCUCUUGGCUCUCGCAUCGAUGAAGAACGCAGC